CCUAAAUCACAGUAUAUCUGUCAUUCUGCCUUAGUAUGCAUCAGAUAAACCAUGUCUGGCUUAGCAUGUGUGUGUCAUUCAGUCUUGACCCGUGUGCCCUGUGUGCAUUCACAUCACCAGCUGAUUAUUGUUAUUAUUUUGUGUGUGUGUGUUAGCAGUUUAGUAAGAUGCAAGCAUCCUAUGGCUGCAUUAUAUACUGCUGAACAGGUUGCAAGAGAUGUAGUAGUUUCA